UACGGAGGGGGCUAGCGUUGUUCGGAAUUACUGGGCGUAAAGCGCUCGUAGGCGGCGUUUUAAGUCAGAGGUGAAAGCCCGGUGCUCAACAUCGGAAUUGCCUUUGAGACUGGGUUGCUAGAAUCCGGGAGAGGUGAGUGGAAUUCCGAGUGUAGAGGUGAAAUUCGUAGAUAUUCGGAAGAACACCCGUGGCUAAGGCGGCUCUCUAGUACGGUACUGACGCUGAGACGCGAAAGCGUGGGGAGCGAACAGG
rnacentral:rRNA from 1 species